UGGGGAAUUUUCCGCAAUGGGCGAAAGCCUGACGGAGCAAUACCGCGUGAGGGAGGAAGGCUCUUGGGUCGUAAACCUCUUUUCUCAGGGAAGAAGCAAUGACGGUACCUGAGGAAUCAGCAUCGGCUAACUCCGUGCCAGCAGCCGCGGUAAUACGGAGGAUGCAAGCGUUAUCCGGAAUGAUUGGGCGUAAAGCGUCCGCAGGUGGCACAUCAAGUCUGCUGUCAAAGCCCCCAGCUUAACUGGGAAGAGGCGGUGGAAACUGGUGAGCUAGAGAGCAAUAGGGGUAGAGGGAACUCCCGGUGUAGCGGUGAAAUGCGUAGAGAUCGGGAAGAACACCAGUGGCGAAAGCGCUCUACUAGGUUGCAACUGACACUGAGGGACGAAAGCUAGGGGAGCGAAUGGGAUUAGAUACCCCAGUAGUC
rnacentral:rRNA from 1 species